CAAAACCUAGCUUCGCCGCCAUUUUGACGUGUUCCUUCACCCUAGGCUCACACUAGAGCCCAACGGAGUCAACGGAGAACGAGCAACUAUGUCCGUAAUUUGUGUACCCUACAGUUGCAAAAACCGUCGCAGUAUUGAAACCAGAUCACGUACGUUUACAUUUUACAAGUAAGUUUGAAAAAUAAUUUUGGUUACUCUUAAUGUGUGACAGCGUCCAGUAUCAUAGCUACAUCUCUGCCAGUCAUAACAAACUAAACCGUGUAAAAAUUCGGGGAGUUAUGAUAAAUAUAGUAAGGCAUUCCUACCUUUCUCAAUAAAAAUAAAUGCAUGGGGGACCCAUCCAAGAUGGUGGCCGCGUUGAUACGUGAGCUCCAACAGGCAGCGUUACUGAGGCGUCUACGUGUAUUAUGUCUAUGGCUGUGUCUCAAUUCAGGGUCCGCACCAUAGACUGUUGCUGUGUCCGAAUUGCCCGCUUGCAUACUACAUACUACUGCUACAUACUACUGCCAGAUCCUACUCCUACAUACUAAACACGUUGGCCCAAUUCGGACACACUAGACGAGCGGUGGGGAGAGACGACCCCCGCAGGCAGAGAGUAGGUACUGCGCCCGUUUUAGACUCUUUGAAUGGUUAUUGUGCAAGUGAUGGAUGCUGCUGUAUUAUAUUCCUGCACUGCUUUAGAAAUUCACAAAGUAGCUUUUCCAUGACUUUUAGCCUUCAUUCACUCACGUGGUGAUCGUUUGUUCAAUGAGAUCUGCCUGAUUACUGCAGCUGUGCAGUUUAAUGAUGGAAUAAGUGAGCUUUACCUCCAUGAUGUCGCCACAUAUUUGCUCAUAAAAUAAUUACUUGGGCAAAUAUGACACCAUGACAUGACAAACAGAUACAAACGCACAUUUUUUAGGACAGUGUGUGAAGUUACAUGAAACUUACAUCUGUACUGCUGCGGUCCUGCCUGCUGCUGCUGCUGCUCCGACAUGUUGCGCGCUGCUGUGGCCAGACGGCGUUCGCGACGCAUCUAAACAGGCAGCAGCUGGUGGCGCUAGCAUAACAUGCGCUUCUACAACUUUUAAGAGGACGAAGAAGAAGCCCGCGGUGCAUUUUGGGUCAGUAGCAUGCCCGUAGGAUGCACCGCAACCAUCCUACAAUGUGGGCGUGUCUAGUAUCUGAAGUAGCAUGCUACUCGCUCCGGUGGCCAAUUCGGACAUGCUACAUACUACUUCGACUACUACUUGGCAAUUCGGAUGCAGCAUGUAUAUAGAAUGGACAGCGUCUGCCUCCUCGCUGGGUAAAGCCACUUCGAGAACAGCACCCCCUGUUGAUGGGCUGCAGUAUAGGUCAUAAAUCCUGCCUCCGCCAGCAAAGCUCAUGGGGCUGUGGACAAACUCUAGAAAUUUAUUACACAGAAUAUACAUUUUUCUCCCUCCUGCUUUUGAUGUUGACAUGUAGUUAUUGUAAGACUUGUUUGUGCUCAAGUCCUCUUUUUUUCUGUGAAGCUCCGUUUUUAAAAGUUAUUAGGGGGUUCAUGUUUUCUAUGAUUGACACCUGAUACAGCCUAUGGGCGUUCAGGGAUUGCGUAGCUCAGCCGGGGGGAUAUGCUGUUUGAGCCGAGCGUCAUCACAGUGACUCUCUGCAACUGCGCGGCCGAAUGCGCCCAUCACUACUGCGCAGCGCUGGUUUCAGGAAGUGAAGAAAAAUCCCGGAAAUAUCGAGAGCUAUUUGGCUUCAUAUCCGUAUACAGGCGGUAGGCGGAACCAAGUUGUCCAUAGUAUAUACAGUCUAUGGUCCGCAUACUGCCGAGUGCACUGCUUAGCGCACUGCCCUCUGUGCACUCUGCGUGUACGCCCUGCGCACCCUGUGUAAGGUGGAUCGACUUUUGUGAAUUGGGACGGUCAACCCAGAGCCUGUGAAAAAGGGUGUUGCGUCGUGAAGGGGGUUAGAAGCUAGAGGGUCACGUGGUUCAUGAAGCCGCCGAAUAGUUCCAAAUAGAGCUUAUUAGGUCAUUUAAAUGAACUGUUUCAGCGCGAUUUCUAGUCACUGUUUACCAAUAUUUCACGUUGCUUACAUUUAUAAAUAGAUAUAGAUGUAUUCGCACUUGACAAAUAUUCUAUGUGCAUGGGUAGGAUCAUUUUUAUUGCGAUAAUCCUUAAAAAAUUGCUGAAAUCUCCACUGAAAAGAAAGAAUGUGUACAGUAUACUAGCUGGCUUUACUUACAUUAUUGAUUGGCAAACAAUGUUUGACACUGUAACAUUACUAAAUUUCUCCGUUUAUAACAUUAACGUUAGUGAUUUUGAAAAUCCCUUACUUGUUUUAACCAUCAAGAUAAAGGAUGAAGCCUGUGUGAAAUACUCCUAAGUUGGAAAACGUGUAGGAAACUCUGUGUUGUGAAGAUUGAAAUAUCAAAAUUAUAUUGGUCUAAGUGAUCGAUCUGUUCAAUCAAUCAAUCAAUCAACUUUAUUUCUAUAGCGCAUUUAAAAGAACCACAAGGGUAGCCAAAGUGCUGUACAAUGACACAUAAAAACAAGUAAAUAAAACAACCAAAGAACAAGAUAAAGUGAGCAGAAAUACAUUAAUACAAAAGAAUAAAUAAGUAUAUAAAUAAGCAGACUCAUGGCAAGUGCUAAGAUGAUGAAAAAACAAAAUAACACUACAAUGUAUCAAAAGCCAAGGAGUAAAAGUGCAUUUUUAAAAGGGAUUUAAAAACAGGAAAUGAGGAGGCCUGUCUAAUUUUCAAGGGCAACUCAUUCCAGAGCUUCGGGGCAGCAGCGGCAAACCCUCGGUCCCCUCUGAGCUUCAGCCUUGUAUUGGGGACCAUCAGUAACAGUUGAUCAGUUGUCCAUAUACAAUAGCUGUUGCAAGAUACUCCAGGUUUCUAAGAUACCAAAUAAGUUUGGAGUACCCCCUAAUAUGCGUUUUUUCUCUUUAUUAUUACUUGUGUAAGUUUGUGCUGUUUUAGCAGCUAGCUGAACAGCAAGCAUGCAUUUCUGAGAAAAAGCUACAAUUAGCAUAGAUUUGCAAUCCUGUCACUUGUAAUAGUGUUACCGUGAUUUGAGUAUCACGGUAACAGGGUUGCAGUCCAGUAACAGGGUUGCAUAUCAUCAGUUUCACACAAUCAACAGACUAUUAUUUUUGGCCCAGUUAACAUAUUUAAACAUUAUUGAAUUUUAACAUCCACAUUUUUUCUUGAUUGCACAGACUUGACAUGAAUUAAACUGUAUUUAAAUCAUGAGUUACAAUUCACACUAGAUUAAUGAUAGACUCACCAUGUACUGACUUCACUAUUUCUCCAUGUUGCUUAUUGGGGUAUAGCACUUUGAAUUGACAUAAUUAAUUAUAUAAACUGUGGACUAAUUAUUUUUUCCUUGCCUUGCCAGGUGAUUACUUUGUCACCCGGGAAAAUGCUCUACCACGAUGUCAGCUGCAGCUGCUUUAGAACUUGGAAUCUGGACUGUGAGUGCCAAAUUAGCCAAAAAACCAAAAGCUUCAGCUUUAAUCUUGAAGAUAACCACAUAGAAGAUCCCACGCUCAGCACACCAGAAGAAGAGCCGUGGAAUACUCCUGCGGUUGUGGGGAAAUGGUGUGCCCUGGGUGAAACAGGUGAACGAGACCCACUGCCAGGUCAAAUGCAUGCAUACAGUGGGCAAAAAAAGUUUUUUCUGUCCAUUGAGGGAUGAUCUCCAUUGGUAUCCCUGUGAAGAUCUGCUGAACAUCAUUCCUUCACCAGAAAAAGUCAGCUCACACCACGUGGCAAUUGCAAGAGACAUAUGGGAUACCCUGGUCAAACAUGAACAUUAAAUUUAAAUGUUAUAGCGACCAUAGGUCGCAUGGAUCCCGCAUCACUGACAUCACACAUCGCUGACAUAACUCUUUCCGCACAUGAUUUUUUUAUAAAUCCCAGACUUCCCUUGUGUAAGAAGUGGCGUACGCACUUCCAAGCCAGGUUUUGUGCGUAAGCAAGCUUUCUAAAUGAGGCCCCUGUUGUUAUAAUAAUAAUAAUAAUAAAUUUAAUUUGUAAUGCACUUUACAUUUACAAGAAAUCUCAAAGUGCUGC
rnacentral:lncRNA from 1 species